rnacentral:rRNA from 1 species
GAUGAACGCUGGCGGCGUGCCUAAUACAUGCAAGUCGAGCGAACAGGCGAGGAGCUUGCUCCUCUGACGUUAGCGGCGGACGGGUGAGUAACACGUGGAUAACCUACCUAUAAGACUGGGAUAACUUCGGGAAACCGGAGCUAAUACCGGAUAAUAUAUUGAACCGCAUGGUUCAAUAGUGAAAGACGGUUUUGCUGUCACUUAUAGAUGGAUCCGCGCCGCAUUAGCUAGUUGGUAAGGUAACGGCUUACCAAGGCAACGAUGCGUAGCCGACCUGAGAGGGUGAUCGGCCACACUGGAACUGAGACACGGCCCAGACUCCUACGGGAGGCAGCAGUAGGGAAUCUUCCGCAAUGGGCGAAAGCCUGACGGAGCAACGCCGCGUGAGUGAUGAAGGUCUUCGGAUCGUAAAACUCUGUUAUUAGGGAAGAACAAAUGUGUAAGUAACUAUGCACGUCUUGACGGUACCUAAUCAGAAAGCCACGGCUAACUACGUG